GUAAGUUCGCGCAAAGACAAGUGUGUUAGUUUAGCAUUUGAACCUUGCCGUCUUACAG
rnacentral:pre_miRNA from 1 species